UACCUGCAGCUCGAGUGGUAACCGCUAUUAUUGGGCCUAAAGCGUCCGUAGCCGGUUUGGUAAAUAUCUGGGUAAAUCGUGAGGCUUAACUUCACGAAUUUCGGAUAGACUGCCAGACUUGGGAUCGGGGGAGGCCAGAGGUACUCCAGGGGUAGCGGUGAAAUGUUGUAAUCCUUGGAGGGCCACCGGUAGUGAAGGCGUCUGACUAGAACGAGUCCGACGGUGAGGGACGAAGCCCUGGGGCGCAAACCGGAUUAGAUACCCGGGUAGUCCAGGGUGUAAACGAUGUGGGCUUUGUAUUGGAGGUCCCACGUGGGCGUCCAGUGCAGAAGAGAAGUUGUUAAGCCCACCGCCUGGGAAGUACGGUCGCAAGGCUGAAACUUAAAGGAAUUGGGCGGGGGAGCACAGCAACGGGAGGAGCGUGCGGUUU
rnacentral:rRNA from 1 species